UGAGGAAUAUUGGUCAAUGGGCGCAAGCCUGAACCAGCCAUGCCGCGUGCAGGAUGAAGCAUCUAUGGUGUGUAAACUGCUUUUGUACGGGAAGAAACACCUCUUCGUGAAGAGGCUUGACGGUACCGUAAGAAUAAGGAUCGGCUAACUCCGUGCCAGCAGCCGCGGUAAUACGGAGGAUCCAAGCGUUAUCCGGAAUCAUUGGGUUUAAAGGGUCCGUAGGCGGUUUUGUAAGUCAGUGGUGAAAUCCGGCAGCUCAACUGUCGAACUGCCAUUGAUACUGCAGGACUUGAAUUAUUGUGAAGUAACUAGAAUAUGUAGUGUAGCGGUGAAAUGCUUAGAUAUUACAUGGAAUACCAAUUGCGAAGGCAGGUUACUAACAAUACAUUGACGCUGAUGGACGAAAGCGUGGGGAGCGAAC
rnacentral:rRNA from 1 species